GCCAGGCAAAAAUCUCAACAUGGAGAGGAGGAAGGUAGGCCCAAAAUCCCACCCCUAGAGGAGGAGCUACUGGCAUUGAUAGCUGGGCGGAGAGCCAGUUUUCAUUAUGGAUAAGAGCCCUGUUCUUAUGGGCUUCUCGGUAACCGCUGUCUCCAGUCUGCAGAACGCUGGUGUUAGAAACGCGUCGACAACUACCGCACAUCGUGAGUGAACAAAGCGGGGGGCCUAGAGGAGGUGCAGAAAGAACCACUGGCCCCUUCUUUUCUCUUGGCCUCCCCUCUCCGCGUCCAAACCCCUUCCCGAGAAUCCCUCACACACUGAGAGCUGCUCGGUGGCUGCAGGAGUUACCCUGUACAGACAGACAUUAGGGUUGGAUGCUCAGGCUUCAGAAAGCAGCUCCUCCUUCCGUGAUAGCUGUGUUGAAACGGCUCAACUUCCUCGCUCUGCCACUGACGUAUUGCUGCCAGGUUGCGGAGUUUCCCAGCAUUCUCUGUUGCUCUUAAGGUUGAAGGUAACUCAUUUAGAUCAAGAUUUAAGAAAUGCAAGCAACAGAUGUUCACAUUAUCAAGUGUUACAAUAUGUCCAAAGUCUUCUAAUUUCGACAACUUUCUUCAUUGUCACUAUUAAUAUGCACACGGUGGUCUGCAUCUGCUGCGGUAAAGAAGCCUCCCCUUCAGCCCUUGUCAGAGGGAUUCCCACUGCCUUCACCUCCUCUGCCUGUGAGGGAACCUCUCUUUCCCUCUCCAUAAGAAAUCAGAAAAAAGCAACUUAUUUCUAUGGGACAUUUAUACAUGUGUGCUGAGGAACAAAGGGACUUUACAGCUUGCACUUUACCAGUGUGCCUCUUUUCAAGCUGGAAGCUAUACCAUUAAUUACUUUACUCUCUACACAGUCAAUUAUGUAUCAGAUAUCCAGCAGUCUUUCUAAAUCCAUUACUUCCAA